rnacentral:rRNA from 1 species
CGUGCCCUACGGGGGGCAGCAGUGGGGAAUAUUGGGCAAUGGGCGCAAGCCUGACCCAGCAACGCCGCGUGAAGGAAGAAGGCUUUCGGGUUGUAACUUCUUUUCUCAGGGACGAAGCAAGUGACGGUACCUGAGGAAUAAGCCACGGCUAACUACGUGCCAGCAGCCGCGGUAAUACGUAGGUGGCAAGCGUUAUCCGGAUUUACUGGGUGUAAAGGGCGCGUAGGCGGGAAAGCAAGUCAGAUGUGAAAACCACGGGCUCAACCUGUGGCCGGCAUUUGAAACUGUUUUUCUUGAGUACUGGG